AACCAGCGAAGGCGACUGGGAGCUGGAGGCCCCCAAAUUACCAUUCAUCUGGCCUUGUUGUGGAAAUUUUCAAGGGAUUUGCAGUAAUUAUAUGACAAAAUGCUUGCAAAUCUCACUCAUUGCUGAACAGAAACAGGCGGGUCAGGGAUUGAACACUUUCAGCUGGGUAAUUUGUAAAUGUCAAUCACGCAACAGGGCAGAGAGAGAGACAGAAAAAGAGGAGCCAGGAAAAGACUGUAGCAACCUCAGUGUAAGAGGCUUCUUCACCCUCCCCAAGCCGGCAGUGGAAAGGGCCAGGCCAAAGUCAAGGCAGAAGGUGAGGAAACUGAGGCUUGGCGAGGCUGUGAUUUUGGCUCAAGAUAAUUUGCUCCUUAACAAGAAGAGCAUGGAUUUGAACCUAGGCUCACUGACUCCACAUCCUUUCCACCACUGCCUUCAAGGAGCUUAUUCCUACCAGCUUCAUUUGAGGAACUACACACAUUCUUCGAGCACACACCUGUCACACCACCACUACGUCGCGUGAACGGCAAACCUGACAAGCUGUGAACAGAACAAGAUACCAUUCUUCUGAAGCAGGACUGUCCAGCUCUCCAGAUUCCAAGGAUCUUUUUUAGCAUCUCAGUCAUUUGACACCCCACCAACCACAGGCACUCACAAGCGCACUGGAUGGUUCUAUUUCUAAACACCUGUAAAUUGAGAAAAGCGCCCAAUGACCCAAAGCUACAACAAACCCAAGCACACUUUUAAAGGAAUUUUAAUUUUCAUCACCAUAUUCUUGGGGGAAAAAAAUUAAAACACAGGCAAAUAAGACAGAAGUCCUGCAGUCUACACUUUUGUCAUGAUCUCCAAAGGGGGGUUAUGUUGACAGCCACAGGGCCACUCCAGCAGAGCCGGAAGGUGUUUCUCUUACAGCUUUAAACUGGAGUCUCACCUGCCCACACUGCCUGGAGUGCGCCAUUCACUCCUCAGAGGAGCAGCAAGGUGCCCGGGCUCCUUCCCUGUGCUGAGCACGGCUCUAGAGGCCAGAGUUACAGUGGCAAACAAAACAGGGGACCAAAAGCCCGCUGUCCUGGAGCUCACUUUGCAUUCAUCAUUUUCUCAGUCUUGAAAUGAUUUUGUGAGAGGCACAAUUAUAUGCCUUGUCUUUCGUGAGUUAAAAGUGUUAACUUACGGAAUGUAACUCACAUAACCCUUCUGCAAUACUUGUUGGCAUUUCUUCCUCUUUAAAUGCACUGGAGGGAUUUCCCUGGUGGUCCAGGGGUUAAGAAUCUGCCUUGCCAUGCAGGGGACAUGAGUUCGAUCCCUGGUGGGGGAACUCAGAUCCCACAGACUGAGGAGCAACUAAGUCCGUGAACUCUAGAGCCUGCGCUUCACAGCUAGGGAGUCCAAGUGCCAUGAAGAAAGAUCCCACAUGCUGUAACUAAGACCUGAGGCAGCUAAAUAA
ensembl:lncRNA